UUGGAGGGCAAGUCUGGUGCCAGCAGCCGCGGUAAUUCCAGCUCCAAUAGCGUAUAUUAAAGUUGUUGCAGUUAAAAAGCUCGUAGUUGAAUUUCGGAAUCUGUCCGUCGGUCGGGCUUCACUGUCCGUACUGGUGUGAUGGGUUUCUACCUUCUGAAUAACCGGCAUGUCAUUAAUUUGGUGCGCCGGGGAAGCAGAACUAUUACCUUGAAAAAAUUAGAGUGCUUAAAGCAGGCUAUCGCCUGAAUAGAUUAGCAUGGAAUAAUAAAAUAGGACGGCAUGGUUCUAUUUUGUUGGUUUCUAGGAUCACCGUAAUGAUUAAUAGGGAUAGUUGGGGGCAUUAGUAUUCAAUUGUCAGAGGUGAAAUUCUUGGAUUUAUUGAAGACUAACUUCUGCGAAAGCAUUUGCCAAGGAUGUUUUCAUUAAUCAAGAACGAAAGUUAGGGGAUCGAAGACGAUCAGAUACCGUCGUAGUCUUAACCAUAAACUAUGCCGACUAGGGAUCGGACGAUGUUAAUUUUUUAAUGACUCGUUCGGCGCCUUACGGGAAAC
rnacentral:rRNA from 2 species